CAAUAAGAGUGUUUAUGGCACUCUUUCAAAAAAUCCAUACCCACCUUGUGUGCAAUGUAAAAAAAAAAAGGAGUUUUCUUGUGGUUUGGGAGUGAGAGUUGUUUUACAACGCUCAUUUUUUUUUUUCCUCAAGAGACACUUUUUUUUUCAUUUCAUAUACACCUUUCUAUAAGUUUCCUAUUGUCUGAAGUACUUGGAAUAAAUAUAAUUCUAAAAUA
rnacentral:misc_RNA from 1 species